GCCGAGGUGCUGGAACUGGUAGACAGGAUCGACUUAAAAUCGAUUGUCCGUAAAGUCGGACGUGUGGGUUCGAGUCCCACCCCCGGCA
rnacentral:tRNA from 1 species